UGGGGGGAGCAACAGACUGACAGCGACGUUUGUAACCGUCUGGCAGUGGGCUGCCCAUAGUCAAGAGAAGUUUGUUGCGAGGAGUAGUGGAGCGAAAUCGUGGCUAUCACCGGGACAUGCCACGUGGAGUCUGUCGCGGAGAGUGGAGCGACGUUCGUUAUCGUGACUUGCCAGAGGAUGGAGAAAUCGUGCGGUAUCCAUCGUAGGAAGUGGAGCAGGAUCGU
rnacentral:lncRNA from 1 species